rnacentral:misc_RNA from 1 species
AUUGAGCCAGAUCUCCAAACAGCACAUAUAAAAAUUAUAAACAAAUUCAACCCUUUCUCUGGAUUCCAGAGUCCUACUUAUGUAUUAAAGUCAGCAAAGAAGGUAGUGGUGGAUCAGAUCAAGGCUGUUCUCUCUGAAGAACAUACAGAGACAACAGAGCAGACCUAUGAUAUAUAUCUUCUACCACCUGGUGAAGAUCCUGAAUCCUGCCAGUCAUAUCUGAGAAUGAGGAAUAAAGAUGGAAAAUACAAUCUUAUGUUUGAGGAAUGGGUAACAGAUGCUCCAUUUGUUAUAUCACCAAGGAUCAGUUUUGAAGUGAGUGUGCGGCUUCUUGGUGGGCUAAUGGCCUUGGGAUACACAAUAGCAACCAUCCUUAAAAGAAGCAGCCAUGUAUUCUUUAAUGAUAGUGUGUGUGUGACAAUUGAUUGGCUAGAACAACUAAAUCGUCAAUAUGUUCAGGUUCAAGGAAAAGAUCGCUUGGUUGUGAGAUGUGUUGCAGAGCGGCUAGGUUUGGAAGGCUUUUAUGUUCCACGUACCUACAUAGAACAGAUUCAACUGGAAAAGCUUGUAGAUGAAGUUAUGGCUUUACCAGAUGAUUUGAAGACAAAGCUCAGCCUAGAUGAGGAUUUGGUUUCAAGCCCCAAAGAAGCACUUUUGCGAGCCUCUGCUGAUCGGGUUGCUAUGAGAAACAAGAAUCUCAAAAGUGGUAUGUCACAUUCAUAUUCAAGCCAAAGUGACAGGAACUUGUCCAAGCUUACUGGACUUGCUGCAAAUAACCAAAUGCAUACUGAGAGAAACACAGAGUCAAUGACAGUGCUAACAAAUCAGGGAAUCCUCACUCAACUUUCAGAACAGAUAUCCUCUCUAAAUGAUAGAAUGGAUGAGUUUGCAGCCCGUAUUGAAGAGCUAAACUCCAAAUUAAACAUCAAUAGAAGUUCUUCCAGCCAACAAAACUUGGGUCUCCAAGCUGAAGCAUGUAAUGGCUCUGCUUCCACGUCUUACUUCCUUUCUGGUUUAAGCAAUGGUUCCUUGACUGGAUCCAAAAUGUCUAAUUCCUCAUCUUCCUCUCAGUUGGCUAAGGAGUCACCAUUAAUGGAAGAGAUAUCUGGCCUUGCUCGGGGACAACGGCAAGUCAAGCACCAGUUAGAUACUUUAAGCAAUCUACUUCGCGAGAGCUUAGGACAGAGAUCUCAGCAAGUAAGAACGAAUAGGAGAAGCACGAUCGCUGAUUUUGAAAUCACAAAAAUUGCUCUUAUUUUGUCGGUUGGUGUUUUAGGAUUCAGCAUGUGCAGAAGGAUUUUCUAGUGCAAAAUGGUACCAUUAGAUUCACAUUUUUGUUCUGCCUUGGGAAAUUUUUUUUCUUCUCUUUAGGAGUCCCAGUAAGUGUGCCCUUAUACUCGGCUAAGACAAAAAGAAUUGAUCAUUGAGAAAAUUGUUUGGGAGGUGCCUUCAAGUUCCUUUUGGGAGGGGUUUUUUUUUUUUUUUUUUUCCCUCGUUGGGAUCCUUCUGAAUGCUUCUAUACAUUGUAGUUUUCGUAUUCAAAAUGGCUAAUUAAUAUCAGAAAUAAUAGAAAUAUAUUUAUCCUCUAAUCCCUC